CCUACGGGAGGCAGCAGUGGGGAAUAUUGGACAAUGGGCGCAAGCCUGAUCCAGCAAUGCCGCGUGAGUGAUGAAGGCCUUCGGGUCGUAAAGCUCUUUUACCCGGGAUGAUAAUGACAGUACCGGGAGAAUAAGCUCCGGCUAACUCCGUGCCAGCAGCCGCGGUAAUACGGAGGGAGCUAGCGUUGUUCGGAAUUACUGGGCGUAAAGCGCACGUAGGCGGUUAUUCAAGUCAGAGGUGAAAGCCCGGGGCUCAACCCCGGAACUGCCUUUGAAACUAGAUGACUAGAAUCUUGGAGAGGUCAGUGGAAUUCCGAGUGUAGAGGUGAAAUUCGUAGAUAUUCGGAAGAACACCAGUGGCGAAGGCGACUGACUGGACAAGUAUUGACGCUGAGGUGCGAAAGCGCGGGGAGCAAACAGGAUUAGAUACCCUGGUAGUCCACGCCGUAAACGAUGAUAACUAGCUGUCCGGGUACUUGGUAUUUGGGUGGCGCAGCUAACGCAUUAAGUUAUCCGCCUGGGGAGUACGGUCGCAAGAUAAAACUCAAAUGAAAUUGAACGGCUGAGAGUGCGAGACGACGACGAGGAGAGG
rnacentral:rRNA from 1 species